rnacentral:sRNA from 1 species
GCUCCCAAACUGAUGGGGGAGAGAGACAUCAUCCCCCAGCUCUGGGAGUUUCCAGUCUGAUGGAGGAGGCAGAGCCUGCUUCGGUAACUCUCACUCUGCGGGGGAAGACUCAGCCCUAUCCAGGGAGCUCUCACACUUUCAAUGGGGAGGCCCACCCAGAUCUGAAAAUGUCUAAUUUCAGGCUGGGCACAGUGGCUCACACCUGUAAUCCCAGCAUUUUGGAAGGCUGAGACAGGAAGAUGGCUUGAGGAAAAGAAUUUGACCAGCCUCGGCAACUAUCAAGACCUCAUCUCUACAAUGAAAAAACAUUUUUUUUUCAUUAGUCAGGUGUGUGGUAGCACGUCUGUAGUCCUAUGUACGUGGGAGGCUGAGUCGGGAGGAUCCCUUGUGCCCAGGAGUUUGAAGUUACAGUGAGCUGUGAUUGCGUCACUACAUUCCAGCCUGGGUGACAGAGCAAGACGCUGUCUUUAAUAAUAAUAAUAAUAAAAUUUAAAAUAACAAAAAU